CACAGGGUAUUUGCCCGGUGGGCCUCGACGCAGUGUUUAAAAACUUUUUUUUUUUUCUAAGUUUGAGGCUCCAGACGCUCUUACCCCUCCUCCUGCUGCAGCCUGCAGCCGAUUUUCUGGAGGCAAACGUGCACCGCGUAGGCACGAUGUCUGCUUGUUCCUGGCGCACAGGAAGAAGUGGAGGCUGGCAAGCAGAUGGGAGUCGGCGCUCCUUAUCUGCCUCUGACCCCAACAUCCGCUGCAACAGAUUCCUGGCGGUGGUGGCGUAGCGGAUGCCCCGCAGCCCCCGCAGUGCGGGGGGGGUUCCUUCUAUGUAGGGACCCCCAGCAUUGCCCCCCUCCGAACUAAAAUGCCGGAACCCCCCGCCCCAGGCACCUCCCGCACCCCCGGCCUGCGCUGCUGUAGCACGGGCCUUUGCUUUGGCCUACCCAGGGCACUAGAACUUCCGUGCGGCUUAGCGAUGCCUCAGGCCAUGGAUCCCCGGGACCUGAUCACCCUGAACUCCCGGCGUAUGCAGAGGAUAAGGAUCUUCUGGCAAAGUGAGGAGCCAACGAUGUCCUGACGUCAUACUCUGCAGAGAAGAUGUAGCUGGAUGAAGUCCUGGUGUCUGGACCAACAGAGAAGACGUCACUCAGCUCAGCGAAGAAGGUGACUUCUGAGUAAUUCGCCUUCGCCCACUGAAGAAGUUCCUCGCUAGUUUCUGGCAGGUUUCCUUGAGUAACAAUCCAAUCCGGCAUAUCUGGAAAUAGGGGCCCAUUUCGGACAAGCUGUUUAUUAUUUGUGGUCGCAUCCUGUGUUUCUGUAGCACUUGGCUGCAAAAAUGUGACAGCGAAACCUCAACCGUAGAGAACACAUGAAGACCACACAGACACACACAAUGCUGGCAAAAGAAGAAGGUCCCUUAGCCAAAGUCCUCUACUCAGUAAGACACUUUCCAUUGGCAACCACAACGAGCUAGAACCCUUGUUAAUGGUAUUACGGGUCCCGAAAAGCAGCUCUCUUUUUAGACUUCAUUGGAAAGGCCCAUGCAUGUGGUGGGUAGAAAUAAUUUAAAGGGGUUCUCCACCAUAAGGUAAUGUCAGUACGUACCUGCCAGAGAGUAAUGGACAUGCUUAGGAAGGAUCCCCGCUUGUAUUUGGGCUAAAUGGCCAUGCUGUGAGAUUACCAAAACGCUGUGGCUUUCUUUUUGUGAACUGUAUACUUCCUGUUGGAGUUUUCUUAUACUACAAAUCCCAUAAUUCCACUUUUCUUCCUCC